rnacentral:antisense_RNA from 1 species
GCGCGCCUGCCAGGUCGGGGCCGGCGGCGGAACAGCUUGGGACCCGAAACGCCUCGGCUUUUCUGCGGACCUGCGCCCGGCCGCUGCUGCCGGACGCUUGAAAAGAGGCAGAGUCUUGCUUUGUUGUCCAGGCUGGUCUUGAACUCCUGAGCUCAAGUGAUCCUCCCGCCUUGGCCUCCCAAAGUGCUGAGACUACAGAGAGAGAAUGCUAAUGAGCUGUGAAAUGACCAAAGAUCUGGCAGCAGAAGGGAAAAGAAAAAAUAACGGAAUAUUUUCUGUCUACAAUUGAUUGAAUCUGUGGAUGUGGAAAGUGCAGAUACAGAUGGAGAGCCGACUAUACUAGCUUUUUGUUUCAUUUUUCACUUCUGGUGUAUGUGUGUGUGUGUGUGUGUGUCUGUGUAUCUGUGUGUGUGUUUUAUUAAUCUCUUUGCCUGCGUCUUGGUUUCUUCCUCUUUAUUUGGAUUUUCACUAACAUUCUUUUCAGCUUCUUC